GUUUCUUACGGGAGGCAGCAGUGGGGAAUAUUGCACAAUGGGGGAAACCCUGAUGCAGCGACGCCGCGUGAGUGAGGAAGUAUUUCGGUAUGUAAAGCUCUAUCAGCAGGGAAGAAAAAAUGACGGUACCUGACUAAGAAGCACCGGCUAAAUACGUGCCAGCAGCCGCGGUAAUACGUAUGGUGCAAGCGUUAUCCGGAUUUACUGGGUGUAAAGGGAGCGCAGGCGGUACGGCAAGUCUGAUGUGAAAGCCCGGGGCUCAACCGGAGUAGUGCAUUGGAAACUGGGAGACUUGAGUGCAGAAG
rnacentral:rRNA from 1 species